rnacentral:lncRNA from 1 species
GCAGUCUCCUUCCCAGCCCAUCAUGUGAACACGUGAGGUUCUGCAGGGAUAUUCAGCCGACAUAAACUAAAAAACAAUGUAGUGGUGAUCUCAAGAAAUUCCAAAAUUAUGUAGUUUUAAUUAAUCCGUUGGAGUAGAUGUUCUACACUACUAACAAAGAGCUUACAGUCAUCUCAUUUUGACCAGCUAAGAAAUACUGCUCAGCCAUCACUAUUCGCCUCUUCACUCCAAAUCGUCGGACUAUGCAUGUGGAUGUAGAAAUAGCCCUAAUAAUAAAAUAUUCAGGUCCC